rnacentral:rRNA from 1 species
GACGAACGCUGGCGGUGUGCUUAACACAUGCAAGUCGAACGAUGAAGCGGUGCUUGCACCGUGGAUUAGUGGCGAACGGGUGAGUAAUACGUGAGUGACCUACCUUUGACUCUGGGAUAAGCCUGGGAAACUGGGUCUAAUACCGGAUACGACCAAUCUCUGCAUGGGGUGUUGGUGGAAAGCGUUAUGGAGUGGUUUUAGAUGGGCUCACGGCCUAUCAGCUUGUUGGUGAGGUAAUGGCUUACCAAGGCGACGACGGGUAGCCGGCCUGAGAGGGUGACCGGCCACACUGGGACUGAGACACGGCCCAGACUCCUACGGGAGGCAGCAGUGGGGAAUAUUGCACAAUGGGCGCAAGCCUGAUGCAGCGACGCCGCGUGAGGGAUGACGGCCUUCGGGUUGUAAACCUCUGUUAGCAUCGAAGAAGCGAAAGUGACGGUAGGUGCAGAGAAAGCGCCGGCUAACUACGUGCCAGCAGCCGCGGUAAUACGUAGGGCGCGAGCGUUGUCCGGAAUUAUUGGGCGUAAAGAGCUUGUAGGCGGUUGGUCACGUCUGCUGUGAAGGCCGGGGCUUAACUCCGGUUUUGCAGUGGGUACGGGCUAACUAGAGUGCAGUAGGGGAGACUGGAAUUCCUGGUGUAGCGGUGGAAUGCACAGAUAUCAGGAGGAACACCGAUGGCGAAGGCAGGUCUCUGGGCUGUAACUGACGCUGAGAAGCGAAAGCAUGGGGAGCGAACAGGAUUAGAUACCCUGGUAGUCCAUGCCGUAAACGUUGGGCACUAGGUGUGGGGGACAUUCCACGUUUUCCGCGCCGUAGCUAACGCAUUAAGUGCCCCGCCUGGGGAGUACGGCCGCAAGGCUAAAACUCAAAGGAAUUGACGGGGGCCCGCACAAGCGGCGGAGCAUGCGGAUUAAUUCGAUGCAACGCGGAGAACCUUACCAAGGCUUGACAUGCAUUAGAUCGCGUCAGAGAUGGCGUUUCCCUUCGGGGCUGGUGUACAGGUGGUGCAUGGUUGUCGUCAGCUCGUGUCGUGAGAUGUUGGGUUAAGUCCCGCAACGAGCGCAACCCUCGUUCUAUGUUGCCAGCGGUUCGGCCGGGGACUCAUAGGAGACUGCCGGGGUCAACUCGGAGGAAGGUGGGGAUGACGUCAAAUCAUCAUACCCCUUAUGUCUUGGGCUUCACGCAUGCUACAAUGGCCGGUACAGAGGGUUGCGAUACUGUGAGGUGGAGCUAAUCCCUUAAAGCCGGUCUCAGUUCGGAUUGGGGUCUGCAACUCGACCCCAUGAAGUCGGAGUCGCUAGUAAUCGCAGAUCAGCAACGCUGCGGUGAAUACGUUCCCGGGCCU